CGGGCGAUCAAUCAAUGGGGUAGUCUUCGGAUAAUCUGUGAGAGUGAGAAAUCUAAUAAAACUAGCGACUAAAAAAGGAAAACAAAAUCUAUUUUUCUCUUAGGUUCACUACGUCAGGAUGAGUGUGUUCCACUUCUGCUGCUUGAGGUGUGCACAGUGGGAGGAGAUGAAGAUGUGGGCCUCGUGGCUCAGGAAAAACUCUUCACAACCAUCACGAGAAGGGGAAAUCACGUCUCAUUAGAAUGUGUCUAAUUUGAUUAGCAGUGAUCUGAUUAGCAGAAGCAGUAUAUAUUAAGAAGAGGUGGCAAGAAU
ensembl:lncRNA